rnacentral:lncRNA from 10 species
CUCGCGGGUUGUUCCCUGGCGAAAUGAUUUGUGAAACAUCAGUCCGAAAUUAUUCGGGGGUUCUUCGCCCUCCACUUUCCCAUAGCGCGUUUUCCUUUCUCCCACAGAGAUAUAAUAGAAACUAAUCUUCAAAAUCCAAACAUUCCAAGCCCCAUCCUUUUGUGCAGGCAUCUCGCUGUCUGCGCUGGGCACGGAGCGGCGCGCGCGCGCCCGUCUUUCCCUCGGCGGCCCCCGCGGCUCGGACCCGGGCCGGCAGACAGGCCAUCCAUCAUCCGCCCUCCUCCCGCGGAGCGCCGCAGCCGCCGCGGCCAAUCCGGCGGCAGGUGGGGCCGCACCUGCGCGACAGCCCGCCGCUUCCCUCCGCUCCCUUCGCCGCGCCUCGCGUGCUAGCGGUGCCCUUGUGAGCCACUGCGUUCUCCAAGGCCAGAACGGGACAGUUGACGAUGGUCGUACUUCUCCAUGUUCUGAGACCAGUUUAAACAAAAACAAAAACCAGACAACAACCUUGCAAGGGAAAGAAUUCAGAGUAAAUAAACAGUCUUUUUCUGGGAAGUAAAAUAUUUCCCUAAGAUGGAGAAAUUGAGAUGAGAGCUCAUCCACAAGAUUACCCAUCAAUGAGCACCAAUAGCAACCAAAUCCACUAGAAGACUGGGAGCUUUUAAGUCAAGAAACUUACAUCAGUAUCAUCAUUCCAAGAAGCGGUAUCCAAGCUGUUUUAUCGAAAGUGCGCAUGGGAGAUAAGACUCUGAGAAUUUAUAGAAACAAACAUUAGAAGGCAGGAAUGUGGAGAGAAGAAAGCUACCUGACAAGGGAAUCUCAGGAUACAAGGAAAACACCAAGAAGUCCCCAUGAGUCCCUACAGCCACAAUAAAUUGAAUUCUGCCAAAAAUCUUAAUAAGCUUGGAAGAAGACCUUCAGCUCCUGAUGAGAACCCAGCCAGAAACAAGAUGAGAACCCAGAAACAAGAUUUUCAUCUUAUUUCAACCUGAGCAGAGAACCCAGAGGAGCCCUGGCCAGAUUUUUGGUCUACAGGAUUGAGAAGACACCUGCCUGAGGGUCUUAUAGCUAAUGGACUGCAGAAGACUUGAGUCAUCAUUCAAAUUCAGUAGCCAUCCUCUGAUGUCCAGUUGAAGAUUGGUGAUUCCAGAAUAGCUCGCAUUGCCCCAGUUGACUUGCCACACAGCUUCUUUCAGGACUUGAAAAUGUCCUAGCCACCCCCAUCUUACCUCCUACUUCCAAUGCCUUUUAAGAUAGAAAACAAAAAACAAAACAACAAAAAAACACCAGCCACCCUUGUGGGUUAGAUAAUCCUACAUCAAGGUGAAUUCUUGAUAACCAGUUCUGUUCUUCCUUAUGUCUUGUAAACAUGCUAAUUAGAAGGAGCUUGUGUUUGAAGAUCAAGGGAGGAAGAAUUCUG